rnacentral:lncRNA from 1 species
CUUGGAAUAAAAUGGAAAAUCAAAACAAUUACGGUAAAAUAAGGGGUUGGUGACUUAUACUGCUAAUCUUGUUAAUAUUCAGGAUCUGAUAAAAAUCUCUUGGCCCUUCUUUAGUUUCAUUUAUAGUAACAUUUUCUGACAGGUUUGCAUGAAAUUGAAUCCAAGCUGAAGUACUGAGACCCUUGUAUUACUGGGCAAUUGUCUAAGACUCGGGACGGUACAGUGUUGGAAGAACCAGUUGAAGGUCCACUUGAAGAAAAAGAUAGCUUUUGCACAGGAGGUGGAACUUCUGAACUCUGCAAAAGGCUUUCAUGAGAUUCUUCCUGUAGGCUAAGGUAGACUUCUCAGCCCUGAUCACAGAAAUCCCUAGGAAAUAGAGCAACAACAGGAAGAAAAGGAGGAAGAAUCACAUU